CAACUCCGCCGCCCCAAGUUCGUCCGCGGCCGCACGAGCGUGAACGCGUCCUGCACUUGGUGGACAGCGAGUUGAUGUUUACACUGCCUCAUGGUGCACAGCCCCAAACACUGCCGACCCACGGUUCCCCAGUGCACGUCUUUUCUGUCGGAGAAACUAGAACCGACCGAGGUGAACAUUGCUGUCUCAGUUCCAAACUUUCACGAGAGAGACUCUGAUCCACCCAACUCAGGCCAAGGGGAUACCCUUCACACAAUAUUUUGUGUGAUAACAGACAGGAAAUGUUAGCCAUGUGAUUCCUAUUACCGUCAGAAACAGUCAUAUUGUGUGAUGCUGACCAUCUGUUUAAGAUAUGGCAGACACACUUGGAGAAUCCAGAAUAAUGGGAACUCAAAACCACCAUUGAUAAGAGAGGUUAUUGGUCUAAGAAGAUGCCGCUUUGGUCAGAUGUGGAUGAGGCACUAUUAGAUGGACCAUCUGGAUUUCACGCCUACCUGUGCUCUAGACUUCAUGUGAUAACUGUGUGUCCGUUGGUUGUCUGACCUGGGGUUGUACUGUACUGUUGGCACAAUGCUUGCCACCCAUGAGGAUGUUGUGACAGUUGCUGAAGUAAACGCUAUAAAGCAUUCUGAGCAAUUCGAAAGAAGGGUGCUAUAUAACUACCCAAACUCAUUACACUCCCACAGGUACGGCUCUUUUUGAAAAAUAUAUUCUUAGUAUGAUAAUACAAAAAGGCGUUCCUCAGGGUACAUUUGAAUAUCUCUGUGCGUUUCAUUCCAUUUGUUAUUCAUUCUGACUUUUAAAUUGAUUAUUAUUUUCAGGUUAUUAACCUGACACUAGAAGGGACCUAUCAUUAAUUUAAUAAUUUUAUGUCACCAUGUUUGAAAAGAGAAGUAUUUAGGUCUCUAGAGGCUCCCUGUUUGUUAAUCUAUAAUUAAAACGAAUAUGGUCAUGAUUUCCUAUCAGAGUCCGGAUCAUUUGGCCAUGGACUCAGAUAUGUUGGAAGCACAUGUUUGAGUGUUUAUUUGCUUGGGUGACUUGCACUGAAGCCUCAAAAUUACUUAAAAAAAGAAAGAAGGAAAGAAAAAGCACAACUAAACACAAGCUAAUAAAUGCAAAUGCCUGACAGCAUUGAGGGAUGAUGGUGACCUAAACCAUCACAGAUUAUUUUCUGUACGGCUCUUUAUUUUCCUUCUUUCCUUUCUUCUCUCUUUUCUUCCUUCCUUCCUUCCUUCCUUCCUUCCUUCCUUCCUUCCUUCCUUCCUUCCUUCCUUCCUUCCUUCCUUCCUUCCUUCCUUCCUUUCUUUAAUAACAGGUUUAUUGAUGUAAUUCACAUGCCAAAAAAUUUACCUUUUCAAAGUUUGCAAUUCAGUGGCUUUAAUACAGUCAUAUGGUUCUACCAACAUCAGUAAAGAUUCCAUAACAUUUUCAUCAUCCCAGAAAGAAAUCCCUUACCCAUUAACAGUCAUUCCCCAUUCUUCCUCCCUGGAGCCCCUGGCAACUGCUAAUCUACUUUCUGUCUCUAUGAAUUUGCCUAUUCUGGAAAUUUUAUAUAAAUGAAAUAAUAAAAUAUGUGUUUUUUAGUGUCUUGCUUCUUUCACUCAGCAUAAUACUUUCAAGGUCCAUUCAUCUUCAUUCCUUUUCACGGCCAAAAAACGUUCUAUUGUAUAGAUACACCAUAUUUUGUUUAUCCAUUUAUCAGUUGAUGGACAUUUGAGUUCUUUAUACUUUUUAGCUAUUAUGAAUAAUGUUAUUAUGAAUAUUAGUGUACAAUUUUUUGUGUGUGGACACAUGUUUUCAAUUCUCUGGAUGGAUAUCUAUGACUAGAAUUCCUAGGUCAUAUGGUUCUCUAUGUCUAACUUUUUGAGGAACUGAAACUGCCUUCGAAAGUGACUGCAUCGUUUUACAUCUCCACUAACAAAGAAUAAGAGUUCAAAUUUCUUUAUACCCUUGCCCACUUAUUAUUGUCUGAAUUUUUGUUGAUAGCCAUGAUAGUGAAUUGUGAAGUGGUAUCUCACAGUUUUGAUUUGCAUUUUCUGAAUGACUAAUGAUGUUGAGCAUUUUUU